GACGAACGCUGGCGGCGUGCUUAAUACAUGCAAGUCGAACGAGGUUGAUUCAGUGGUAACACUGGUGACUGCCUAGUGGCGAACGGGUGAGUAACACGUGAGCAACCUGCCCCGAAGACCGGGAUAACAGUGGGAAACCGCUGCUAAUACCGGAUACCCCCACCGGGUCACCUGGCCUGGUGAGGAAAUGCCUGAUUCUUUUAGAGUCAGACGCUUCGGGAGGGGCUCGCGGCCUAUCAGCUUGUUGGUGGGGUAACGGCCUACCAAGGCUUCGACG
rnacentral:rRNA from 1 species